CGUUAGAGCAUUGAGAGGACCUUUCCCUAGUACGAGAGGACCGGGAAGGACGCACCUCUGGUGUACCAGUUAUCGUGCCCACGGUAGACGCUGGGUAGCCAAGUGCAGUAGAGUACAAGGAGUUGGGACUCUAAAUGGUUGAGCCCUUGCAAGACCAUCUUCGUUGAUAAUAAAUGCCUCCCAUGGCGGAAGAAAAGAGAGAGGAUGGAACAAGAGAUCCUUUUAAACUAUUUUUCUAGGAAUCCCUAACAUGAUAAAGAAAUGAGAUGAUAGAUAACUUUUCGUAGAUCCUUCAACA
rfam:Picea glauca, whole genome shotgun sequence.